rnacentral:rRNA from 1 species
AACGAACGUUGGCGGCGUGGAUUAGGCAUGCAAGUCGAGCGAGAAAGCUACCUUCGGGUGGUGAGUAAAGCGGCGAACGGGUGAGUAACGCGUGGGAAACCUGCCCUCGAGUGGGGGAUAACAUUCCUAACGGAGUGCUAAUACCGCAUAACAUGACCGAACCGCAUGAUUUGGUCAUCAAAGGUGGCCUCUGUUUCAAGCUGUCGCUUGAGGAUGGUCCCGCGUCCGAUUAGCUUGUUGGUGGGUAACGGCUCACCAAGGCGACGAUUGGUAGCUGGUCUGAGAGGAUGGUCAGCCACACUGGGACUGAGAUACGGCCCAGACUCCUACGGGAGGCAGCAGUCGAGAGGCUUCGGCAAUGGGGGAAACCCUGACCGAGCGACGCCGCGUGGAGGACGAAGGCCCUCGGGUCGUAAACUCCUUUCAGUAGGGACGAACUCUUGUCGGGCUAAUACCCCGGCAACUUGACGGUACCUACAGAAGAAGCGCCGGCUAACUCCGUG